rnacentral:rRNA from 1 species
AAGAAGUGAGGGCAAGGUCUAGGGCUUCCAACCUACCAGUAAAAAACCCUGUACCGGCCAAUGUGCCGACUACUGUCAGUAGUUGGACAACAUGUCAUUCUUUACAGGUGUGGGUGGAUGGGUCGUUGACCUGCUUUAGUAUCGUACCUUCGAUGUAAUACGGGACAAGGUAACGGCCUGUCUUAUGAUACGGCCCACCGGUCGUUCGUUCCUUCCGACCUGACACUUCAAGGACCGUAAGCGACUCUGGUUUAAGUGUGCGCUCCUCAAACCACGAACGCAACAGGUGUAUCAGGCAGUCAAGCUGUCCCUGUUGGACUUCGACGGGUAAUGUUUCGUGUUGUAUAGUUUUAGUUUCGUGCUGCGGGACGCGUGCUUACGUACUUCGAUGUCCCUUUAAAGAGGAGGGGGCGGGCACUCCGUCAAACCGUACAAGAACGGGAUAGUCUGAGGUGUAAACUGUGGUCGAUUUUGUGGCUACAUGAUUUAAUGGGUCCUACAGGGUGACCCACUAAAUAGGAAUAGUAGAGUACUUUUCUUCACAAAAGUUGCGUUCGAACAUGGGGAUUACGAUGUAAACUUAAUACACGGCUCGUAACAUGAUAGUUUCUGGUACCAAAGUUUGGUAUAGGAAAAAACAAUUCGUUAAACGAC